CAUGGGGUGUCGGGAAAGAUUAUAUCGGUAUGGGAUGGGGUCGCGUCCUAUCAGGUAGUCGGCGGGGUAACGGCCCACCGAGCCUACGACGGGUAGCCGGCCUGAGAGGGCGACCGGCCACAUUGGGACUGAGAUACGGCCCAGACUCCUACGGGAGGCAGCAGUGGGGAAUAUUGCACAAUGGGCGCAAGCCUGAUGCAGCGACGCCGCGUGCGGGAUGACGGCCUUCGGGUUGUAAACCGCUUUUGAUCGGGAGCAAGCCUUCGGGUGAGUGUACCUUUCGAAUAAGCACCGGCUAACUACGUGCCAGCAGCCGCGGUAAUACGUAGGGUGCAAGCGUUAUCCGGAAUUAUUGGGCGUAAAGGGCUCGUAGGCGGUUCGUCGCGUCCGGUGUGAAAGUCCAUCGCUUAACGGUGGAUCUGCGCCGGGUACGGGCGGG
rnacentral:rRNA from 1 species